AGAACAUGAGAAUGGUCAACUUUCUGCAUGAUGACCUUGAGCAAAGGUCCUAAAACAACACUUAGCCAGGGUUAUCCAGCUUUUGUUCAUGACAGAGGUUCAUCUCAGCAAAAAUUUUAAAUCAUCAUUUAGUUCAUACAUAGUCUCAUAAUGCAAGCUCAACUAGGUCAUAAACAACACAUAAAAAGAAGAGGACACAAUUAUAUUAACUUGAACUGGCUCAACUCAGUCUAUUUGCUCAUUAAAGAUUAUUCUGAAGCAGACAAGUAGAACACAUUUCAGUCAAAAGCAUCAUCUAAAAACUUCACAUUAAUACCUUGUAGACAGCAGGAUGCAU
rnacentral:misc_RNA from 1 species